rnacentral:misc_RNA from 1 species
GAUGAAGAACGUAGCGAAAUGCGAUACUUGGUGUGAAUUGCAGAAUCCCGUGAACCAUCGAGUCUUUGAACGCAAGUUGCGCCCGAAGCCAUUAGGCCGGGGGCACGCCUGCCUGGGCGUCACACGUCGUUGCCCCCCCAUCUACUCCUUCGGGAUUGCGGGGGGCGGAUGAUGGCCUCUCGUGCGCCUCGUCGCGCGGUUGGCCUAAAUGCCAAGUCCUCGGCGACGCACGCCACGACAAUCGGUGGUUGCGAAACCUCGGUUGCCUGUCGUGUGCGGUCGUCGCGCAUCGAGGGCUCGAAAAAAUUGCCGGGCUUCGGCUCGACUUUCAACGCGACCCCAGGUCAGGCGGGGUUACCCGCUGAAUUUAAGCAUAUCAAUAAGCGGAGGA